GUUCUUUCCCAUCUGGCGGCCGCGGCUCCUGUCCAGACCCUGACCCUCCCUCCCAAGGCUCAACCGUCCCCCAACAACCCCCAGCCUUGUACUGAUGUCGGAUGCGAGAGCCUGUGCUUAAGUAAGAAUCAGGCCUUAUUGGAGACAUUCAAGCAAAGGUUGGACAACUACUUUUCCAGAACAGAAAGGAAACUCAUGCAUCAGAAAAGGUGACUAAUAAAGGUACCAGAAGAAUAUGGCUGCACAAAUACCAGAAUCUGAUCAGAUAAAACAGUUUAAGGAAUUUCUGGGGACCUACAAUAAACUUACAGAGACCUGCUUUUUGGACUGUGUUAAAGACUUCACAACAAGAGAAGUAAAACCUGAAGAGAAUGAAGCCCUGGCAGCCAAAGCAGGACUCCUUGGCCAACCACGAUAGAGAAGUCCUGAUGGAUGAACUUUUGAUGAAAGAUUGCCAACAGCUGCUUUAUUGGAAAUGAGGACUCAUCUGAUAGAAUCCCCUGAAAGCAGUAGCCACCAUGUUCAACCAUCUGUCAUGACUGUUUGGCAAAUGGAAACCGCUGGAGAAACAA
rnacentral:lncRNA from 1 species